AUUGAACGCUGGCGGCAGGCCUAACACAUGCAAGUCGAGCGAGCGGCGGACGGGUGAGUAAUGUCUGGGAAACUGCCUGUUGGAGGGGGCUAACUACUGGAAACGGUAGCUAAUCCCGCAUACCAUCGGAUGUGCCCCGAUGGGAGUAGCUAGUAGGUGGGGGAACGGCUCACCUAGCCGACGAUCCCUAGCUGGUCUGGGAGGAUGACCAGCCACACUGGAACUGAGACACGGUCCAGACUCCUACGUGAGGCAGCAGUGGGGAAUAUUGUACAAUGGGCGAAAGCCUGAUGCAGCCAUGCCGCGUGUGUGAAGAAGGCCUUCGGGUUGUAAAGCACGUUCAGCUGGGAGGCGUUACCCGCAGAAGAAGCACCGGCUAACGCCGUGCCAGCAGCCGCGGUAAUAC
rnacentral:rRNA from 1 species